UACGGAGGGAGCUAGCGUUGUUCGGAAUUACUGGGCGUAAAGCGCACGUAGGCGGCUUUGUAAGUUAGAGGUGAAAGCCCGGGGCUCAACUCCGGAAUUGCCUUUAAGACUGCAUCGCUAGAAUUGUGGAGAGGUAAGUGGAAUUCCGAGUGUAGAGGUGUAAUUCGUAGAUAUUCGGAAGAACACCAGUGGCGAAGGCGACUUACUGGACACAUAUUGACGCUGAGGUGCGAAAGCGUGGGUAGCAAACAGG
rnacentral:rRNA from 1 species